UCGAGAAUAGUCUACAAUGGACGAAAGUCUGAUAGUGCAAUUCCGCGUGGAUGAAGAAGCAUUUCGGUGUGUAAAAUCCUUUUCUCUAUGAGCAAAGUCUUGAAGGUGAAUAAUUUUUAGGAUAAGAUAUUAGUAGAGGAAUAAGCCUCGGCUAACUCCGUGCCAGCAGCCGCGGUAAUACGGGGGAGGCAAGCGUUGUCCGGAAUCACUAGGCGUAUAGGGCAAGUAGGCGGAUCAGUAAGUUACGGGGG
rnacentral:rRNA from 1 species